GACGAACGCUGGCGGCGUGCUUAACACAUGCAAGUCGAACGGAAAGGCCCUGCUUUUGUGGGGUGCUCGAGUGGCGAACGGGUGAGUAACACGUGAGUAACCUGCCCUUGACUUUGGGAUAACUUCAGGACACUGGGGCUAAUACCGGAUAGGAGCUCCUGCUGCAUGGUGGGGGUUGGAAAGUUUCGGCGGUUGGGGAUGGACUCGCGGCUUAUCAGCUUGUUGGUGGGGUAGUGGCUUACCAAGGCUUUGACGGGUAGCCGGCCUGAGAGGGUGACCGGCCACAUUGGGACUGAGAUACGGCCCAGACUCCUACGGGAGGCAGCAGUGGGAAAUAUUGCACAAUGGGCGGAAGCCUGAUGCAGCAACGCCGCGUGCGGGAUGACGGCCUUCGGGUUGUAAACCGCUUUCGCCUGUGACGAAGUGUGAGUGACGGUAAUGGGUAAAGAAGCACCGGCUAACUACGUG
rnacentral:rRNA from 1 species